GGAGAUGCUAGGCGAGGGAGAUGCGGGUCUGUGUGUAGUCGCAGCCUCCACUGGCUCUGUGGCCAGAACCAAGCGCGGACGGGCCUGCCUCGCUCCUGCCCCGCCUCGCACGCCACACACACACCCGCCUCUCGCGCCCUACACACACGCCACGACGCUGCAGGUGUGCGUAUCGCCAGCUUUCAUCUCCUUGACUUGACACGAAAGGAAAAGAAGACGAAGAAAAAAUUUAAGUUCUGUUCUCUGAUAAACGUACCUGAAGGAGAAAACGUGUGUGUGUAUCUGCUCACCUCACACCGCCAACAACAACAACAACAACAAAAAGAGUGCAGGUGAGGAAAGUCUUGUUGUCGGAGUGACCGCGGACGAGAAAAAAAAAAUGAAAACAGCAAAACAAAAGAAAGAAAGAUGUGUUGAAACCAAUCUUUUCAUCGCCGUGUAAAAGAAAAACAUUCCCCCCACCAAAAAAAAAAAAAAAAAAAAAAAUCAACCCCUUAGAAAAAAAGGACCUCCGCCGCGGCCGCCUCACAGAUACUGGUAAAAAAAAAAACAGGACAAACACGGACAGGGCUACCCAUGGAUGUCUCUCGCCACGUGUUGCUGUGUGUUGUGUUGUGCAGUGUUGCGUGUGCCGCCAGCGUGUAGCGAAGAAAGGGGAACUGGAGUGAGUGUGGCUAGAAGGGAGUGAAGAGGCGACGUCCAUAUUACCUGUCCACCUGUUUCACCUUGUUUAGUGGAAGGAGAGCACGCGAGGGUGACGAGGACAGGUGUUUCGCUCUCUUAUUGUCUCCUUCUACCUGUGGACGCCUAAGUGAAAGUAGAUUACGCGAGGGUGACAGACAGGUGUUUCGCUCUCUUAUUGUCUCCUUCUACCUGUGGACGCCUAAGUGGAAGUAGAUUACGUGAGGGUGAAGAAGACAGGUGUUUCGCUCUCUUAUUGUCUCCUUCUACCUGUGGACGCCUAAGUAGAAGUAGAUUACGCGAGAGUGAACAAGACAAGGUGUGUCGCUCUCUUACUUUCUCCUCCUACCUGUUAAAACCUAAUUAAGUGAAAGUAGAGUAGCUAAGUGUGACAAAACCAGGUGUACCGGUUCUUCUGAGUCUUGUCCUACCUGUGAACACCUUAAUAAGUGGAAGCAGAACACGUGAAGGUUAAAAAGACAGGUGUACCGGUCCUUCUCAGUCUCCUCUUACCUGUGAAAACCUUAGUAAGUGAAAGUACAGUACGUGGAGGGAAAGGAAUCCAGGUGUAUCGCUCUCUUACUCCCUCCUCCUACCUGUGCAAAACCUUAAUAAGUGAAAGUACAGCCCGUGAGGGUGAACAAAACUAGGUGUAUCGCUCCUCUACAACCUCCUCCUACCUGUGCACAGCUUAAUAAGUGGAAGUAGAGCACCUGAGAGUGAAGAAGACCAGGUGUAUCGCCCUCAUACCCUCUAUUUAUGCACAUAUGAUUAAGUGAAAGUAGAGCACGUGAAGGUGACGAAGACAGGUGUAUCGCUCCUCUGCAGUCUCUUUCUACCUGUGCAAACCUUAUUAGAAAGUGAAAGUGAAAGUAGAGCACGUAAGAGGAAGGUGAAUCCCUCCUCUACAGUUUCCUCCUACCUUUUCGAACCUCAUCACCUUCACUGGAACCCCCUGAGCAGUCAUCAAUAAUCUAGUUCGUAAUAGAAAUCAAAAUCUUAGAACGUGAUAGUGAGAUCAAGGGCAAUAUUAUCCUUUUUGCCGUUUAUCAUUUCCGUUGUCGUUGUUACGUAGCUGUCCAGAGAGACUUCACUAUCUGUUACACUGUAUCGCAUCGCACCGUCUCAACGAAUGUACGUAAGUGUGUCAGUAGCAUCGCGUAGUUAGGUUAACGAACAUUAAAGGGGAGCGUCUCGGUGUAAGAGGUUGCCGUAAGGUGUAUCGUUAGCAGCGCACAGGUGUGUAGGUGUGUUAGUAGCGUUCAUUAACCUGUCGUCGCGCCCCUUGAAUCGCCACGCACACGGACUACAGUAAGGUAUAGGCUCUUAAGUACAGGCCAAUAACUACUUUAGAAGGUCACUUAAACUUCACACCUACACGGACUACACCUGAACGUACAGUCCUCACUACUGGAGAAGGCAUAAGUAAACACACACACACACACACACACAGAUACUUGUACUUCGCAUAGGUUAACAGUCAGUUCAUCUACACUUAAACACAGCGAAUCCUCACCAUUUAAUGAACAAAGUCCUCCACAAACACACAUAGACUACACUCAAGCAAACACUACACAUACAUUUAAACACAGCCAGUCCUCACCUUAUAAAUUUAAUAACACGGAUAAGCAAACACAUCUCAACGGACUGCACUCAAGCAUACUGUCCACCUUCACUUAAGUAACACCAGUCAUCACCACUUGUAGGGCAUAGAAAUCACAGUCACACUUACACGACCCGCUACACUUACACACACUUCACAACCUCACUAAUUACAUGACAUAGCGAUAACCAGCCACACGAACGACCCGCUAUACUUAAAACACUUCUCAACUCUACCACUUACAGGACGUAGCAAUCAACAACCACAUUUACACGACCCGCUACACUUAAAACACUUCUCAACUCUACCACUUACAGGACAUAGCAAUCAACAACCACACUUUCACGACCCGCUACACUUAAUACACUUCUCAACUCUACCACUUACAGGACAUAGCAAUCAACAACCACAUUUACACGACCCGGUACACUUAAUACACUUCUCAACUCUACCACUUACAGGACAUAGCAAUCAACAACCACAUUUACACGACCCGGUACACUUAAUACACUUCUCAACUCUACCACUUACAGGACAUAGCAAUCAACAACCACACUUUCACGACCCGCUACACAUAAUACACUUCUCAACUCUACCACUUACAGGACAUAGCAAUCAACAACCACACUUUCACGACCCGCUACACUUAAAACACUUCUCAACUCUACCACUUACAGGACAUAGCAAUCAACAACCACACUUACACGACCCGCUACACUUACACACACAUCUCAGCGCCACUUUAAGGCCGCGUAUCCAGUACUCGUUAAACAAUCAAAACAUUAGCGCUUAAGUUAGUCGGUCAGUCGGUCAGAGCGCCCCGCCGGCGUCAUCCAUUAUUACCUCAUGUCGCACAGGUAACAGUUAAUUAGUAAGCUCACGUCAACUUAGCUUUAAUAAGUAGGAUUAGGUUAGAGAGGUAAACACUAACUUCCGCCCGCUUGCACGCUCACACGCUCACGCACUCACGCAACCACGCCAGCACGCAAGCAUACCCGCCAGCCAGCCAGGUAGUCACGCAAAGCAACGCACGCAAACACAUACACACUCAAACACGCACUUUCUUCCUUGAUCGUUUCGGAAAAUUAAAGAAAUAAUCAGAACUAAGAGGUAAGAAAUAAGAACUGUACAGCAUCCCGCGUUUUCUGAUCUUUCUCUCUUUUCCGCGUCAGAAUCAAACAUAAAGAACAGUACAAUAACAAUAACAACAACAACAGUAACAGGACACACACGCCCCCGCCGCCACCGCCGCCGCCUCCUCCGCCGCCGCCGCCGUUGGUACAGAGAACAAUUAGUGGAGUUGCGAGCGUAGAGUGCACGUGCGCCAGGUACUGACACACACACACACACACACACACACACACGCACACACACACACACACAUACAUCUCCUCCUUCUCCUCUUCGUCCUCCUCUUCGUCCUCCUUUCACCUCAUCAGUCUUUCCCCCUCUUGCCUCUUCCUCCACCUCCUCUUGUCCCUUUGUCAUCACUCUCCUCCUUCGCAUCCUCCUCCUUCUCCUUCUUCGCUUCCUCUCCUCACUGUCCACCUGCUUUAAGGAUUGGCUCAUAAGACUGCUCAGCGCUUAGGAAACAAUCACAGCUAGAUACAUUAUAGGAGAGAGAGAGAGAGAGAGAGAGAGAGAGAGAGAGAGAGAGAGAGAGAGAGAGAGAGAGAGAGAGAGAGAGAGAGAGAGAGAGAGAGAGAGAGUUUUGGUGUAACCCUUAACCCUUCACAGUUAUAAUUAAACGAAAGCCGUGUAUAAAGGAAAGCCGUGUUCACUGUCUUGCACACUCCCGCCGACACACACACAUUGAUAUUAGUGUUGUUGUUCCGUUGUUGUCGUCGUGUCCGUCUCGCGCACCUGAGCACACCUGUGUAUAGAUAGACAACAAGAGCAGGCCGAUACACUCACCUGCCCCUUUUCCAUUAACGUCACAUAUCGCUUACCUCCGCACCGUCCCUAAUACCUUAUACUUGUUCAGGUAGAGAAAGAGUUUGACAUAGUGUUUCUUUUCUCGCUGGAUUCUCGUGUCCUUAUUAGCAUGUUUACCUGAGAGAGAGAGAGAGAGAGAGAGAGAGAGAGAGAGAGAGUGAGAGUGAGAGUGAGAGAGGUUACAGAGUCUGGCAAGUAAGUGGAGAGGGAAGAGGAAGAAAGGUCAGAGGAGGGAUUCCGGCCAUUAGAGAAGGCACUGGACGAAAUUAAGACACUGGAGGAGCAGGCGGCGGCGGAAAAGUAGGUGCUGGAGGAGGCAGGAAGAACAGCAGUAGGAGGAGGAGGAAGAGGGAGGGAGAAGCAGAAGAAACAGGUGGAGGAGAAGGACUAGAAGAAUUGAGGAAAGAACGGGAAAGGAAGGGCCAGGAGAAGUAAAGAGAGACACAGAAAAGUAAUAAAUCGUGCUGCUCGCUGAAGAAGAAGAAGGAAAGAGAGAAGAAGAAGAAAGAGAAGAAGAGGAAGGAGGAGACAACAGGAUAUAUAGCCCAGAAAGAAAAGUCGUUUAAUUGUUUCAGCCAAGAAGAAAAGGAGAAGAAGAAGAACAACUACACCAGGAAUAGUCAUCUGUCAGUCCAAGAUGAUGAUGAUGACGAUGAUGACGGCGGCUCGGAGGGUGGCGCUGAUGGUGGCGGCGACGCUGGUGGUGGUCGCCGUGAGGGCCGAGAGACCGCCCGCCACACUUGACCAAGGUAAGACACACGCCCUUCACACCUUAAUUAUUUACGGCGCGGAGCUUCGUGUACCUGUGUGUCUGUGCUGCUGCGGCGGAUGCUUCUGUUUCGUUGGGCCUUGUUGUGAGGGGCAAAACAUUUAAUUAUCGAGGAGAUACACUAAUGCGAUCUUUCAUAGCUGCCUUCAUGUUUUUAAGGUUUUAGUUAAUAUAAGUGCUCUUGAUGUCUCCA